UUUUGUUUUGCUCAGCUGCUUCUUUCGUUUUGCAGUUGGUUUCGCUCUCUCUCUUUCGCUUUGGGCGAGAUAGUGCUGCCACAUGCGAGGUAUUUGGAAAUCGCGACUAGGUGGCAACCCGAGGCGGUGGCAACAGAAGAGUCAGCAAAGGAGAAUGUGCAAAAUAAGUGCGCGGGUGCAAGCGGGACAAAAAUAGCGCGGCUGCGGCAUGCGUUGCGUGCUCGCAAGUGCGAGGGAAAUAACAGCAGCGACAGAGAGAGAAUGCAGUGGCAUUUGUAUGUUCGCUCUCAUCGUCGCGUGUGUGUUUGUAAAAUGGUAACGAGCGGAGCAAAAGAAAGAAGAAGGUGCAAACACACAGAGAGUAGCAAGCCAAGAGAAAGAACAAGAGCGGCGAGAGGGAGAGAGCGAUGGAACGAGCAAAACAGCGAGAGCGAGUGUAACUAUUCGCUCAAUUGCGAAAACGAAAAAGAAACCGAAACGAAAACGGUCAAAAGUACACUUAAAAUUGUCACGAUUGCUUUGUACACUAUAUUGAACGCCUUUUUUUCUAUUUUGUCGUAGAAUGAUAAAUAUUUUUGUGCGCAACUUCCGCGCGCGCGUUCGUUUAAAAACAACACCGAAAGCAAACUACACACGCCACCAACUACAACUACAACUACAAAUACAAGCUGCGCUGCCAGCUUCGCGGCGUUGCAUCUUCUUCUUCUUUCGCUGCUGCCUUCCAUUCCACCGAACUUCCAAUACAAAGCGGAAAGCAGCUGCUGCUUGCCGAAUGAUGAAGAAGAGGGGUGGGGACACCGUGGGGAGUGAAAAGAGAGGAGUCCAUGAAAGAGAGAGAGAGAUGAAGAGGACAGCCGGCGUCUUUGUCAAUUCGCGAGCGACGACGCCGGCAGAGGGCGCCAUUGCCACAACACCACGAAACAAAGGCAACAAAUACAACAUGGUAACAGUGCUGCCUCCGAAAUAAUUCAGCCAGGAACAAGCUAACUAAAGGUUUUCUUCCAACACAACUGUUAAUCUAACCAUUAAAAUUAAAACCGCAAUUUACAUUUUUUUUUUUGUAAUUUAAAUUAUAUAUUACGCCUAUUACAUAGAAUAGCCAAAAAAUCAACUCUAAAAGUAAACUUCAAAUGUCAAAGAAUUGUAUCUGCGUUGAAUGGGCAAACAAAAAUGGUGCACUAUGUUCUAUUGAGCAGUAAAUUAGUUGAAUAAUACAAAGUAAAAAAUAAAGGAAUA